ensembl:sense_intronic Gm10484 predicted gene 10484
AAGAAGGCAGUGUUCAGGCCCUCGGCUGUCUCUGUAGAAAUGGUGGUAGUAGGAAAGAGAGUCCAAAGGGAGAUUAUUACGUUUUUAAGAGUUAUUUUUAAAGUUUUCAAUUUCACAUCAUCUUUAAAUUUUAAUUUUCAACAAAACUCUACAUGUUCAAUUGCAUAUGGUUUAGAAAUUAAAGCUAUUUCCGACAAGGGUCUUGUUUGCCAUGGGAUUUUCCCUAAUUAUCCACAUCUUGUAUGAAUGUGGCAUUUCUGUUACAAAUGGUCGCGGAAUACUGAUAUGCCACUAUGAAUUGAAGCCACAGUCUGUAUUAGGAUUCCUUCUGCUGUUUGUGGAGAGCGUAUCACAUAGUAACAUCCUUGUGGUAACACACAGAACACGUUCACACCUUUAAGUAUGUAUUCUACCAAUCACUCUGCCACUGCCAGCCACUCCUCGUAUUUGCCACCUCUAUAGCUUUCUUUUCAGCAUCUGGCAUGGUUAGAACCAGAGUGCCUAGCUGUUUUAUAAACACUUCUCCACAGAGUAAUAUGCAGUUAGAGGCCAUGCCUAUUGUUUUGUUGAUUGGUAGCUCAUUAAAAUGAAUAGUGUUUCACUCUAUAAGUGUGUCAUAAAUUAUCUAUUUGUUUACUCCAAAGUUGCUUUAAGUUUAACCAAAGUGGCUAUGGAUAUUCCUUUUUUUUUUUAAAGGAUGCGUUUAUUUUUAUGUUUAUGAGAGGGUUUUUGUUUUUGUUUUUGCCUAGAUAUGUUUAAAUAUACCACAUGCAUGCCUGGUUCCUCAUAAGGAACCUGUACGUCAUAAGAGGACAUCAGAUCUCUGGAGCUGGAGUUAUAGACAAGUAGGAGUCACUUCACUGUAUGUGAACUAGAACCAAACUCAGCUCCUAUGCAAGAAUAGCAAACACUGUUAACACCAAGUCAAUCUCCAGUCCAUUGCUACAUACAUUCUUUAUAUUCAUUCUUUCUUUAUAUACAUUAUAUACACUCUUUAUAUACAUACUUUCACGUUUUCAGUCCAUUGCUAUAUACAUUCUUUAUAUACAUUCUUUUGCGUUUUCAGUUCAUUGCUAUAUACAUUCUUUCACGUUUUCAGUCCAUUGCUAUAUACAUUCUUUAUAUACAUUCUUUCACGUUUUCAGUCCAUUGCUAUAUACAUUCUUUAUAUACAUUCUUUCACGUUUUCAGUCCAUUGCUACAUACAUUCUUUAUAUACAUUCUUUCACGUUUUCAGUCCAUUGCUGUAUACAUUCUUUAUAUACAUUCUUUCACAUUUUCAGUCCAUUGCUGUAUACAUUCUUUAACAUUCUUUAUAUACAUUCUUUAUAUACAUUAUAUACAUUCUUUCUUUCAUGUUUUCAGAUGAACAUAAGGAUUCAGUUCACUUAGUGCUAUAUUAGACUUUGUCACUGUCACCAAACAUUAAUGGAAAGAAGAUCAAAGACAAAACGUUUAUUUUAGCUCACAGCUUCAGGGCUUUGGUCCAUGGUUGGCUGCUGCAUUGGCCACGAAACAGGAAUGUGACAGUAGAAGGGCAUGGUGGGUGAAAGCUGCUCAACUUUUAGAAGUGUGGAAGCAGACAGGACUUACAGCAAGAGAAAAAGCACAGCCCAGUGACCUCUUUCAGCUCACCUCCUAAAGUCUCCAGCACUUCCAACUAUCCCAAUAAUACUACCCACUGAGACUAAGCCUUUGGUGCAGGGAUCUCUAGGAGUUACUCUUGAUCUGAACCAUAACAAGUACCGACUUUCUUCUAACUAUCGCUGAAAUGAGGUAGAUAUUCAGUGUAUGUGUUAGGAUCAAAAACUAAACAACACCCCGUCCCGUGAAAACCCCACCAUUGUUGUUGAAUGGCAGAUUAGUGACUAUUAUAUGUGUAGAGAUGUGUUAGGAGAGUAUAAGGAUACCCUGGAAGGACAUUGAAAAAAAUGACCUUACAUUUGCUUGUUUAUUUGUAUGUAUGUAUGUAUGUAUGUAUGUAUAUAUGUAUGUAUGUGUGUACAUCUGUCACGGCACAUGUGUGGAAGGUUGUAGGAGUUAGAUCUCUCUUGUCAAGUUUGGCCCAAUAUGCAGAGUCAUCUCACCAGCCAUGGAAGGCAUUUUACUCACAUUAAUAGUCAGAGAAGUAGGAACUAAAUGCUUAAGUCCUUAUGCAAACUUAAUUCAAUGGUUAUAAAACCUUUUUAAAAAAGGAUUUAUUUAUUUAUGUGGUGUGUGUGUGUGUGUGUGUGUGUGUGUGUGUGUGUGAAGCAUGUGCAGGUGCCCACAAGGCCAGAAGAGAGUCAGAUCCCUUGGGGCUGGAAUUAUCAGAGUUGUGAGCCACCUAGUAUGUACGCUAGGAACCUAAGCAGGGUUCUGGAAGAGUGGCAAGCAUUCUGCACCUCUGAGUUCUUUCUAGCCCUCUAUAAACACUUUAACUGCCUUUAGACUUGAUAAGUUUAAUAUGCUUGGUUCUCUUUAAGCAUUCAAAUGUUGUGAUUUUACAGCCAGCACUCUUUGAGUUCUUAACCUCUUCUUAUAAACCUAAUUAAACACAUAUUUGAAAUGUAGCUCAUCUAAAGCACUUCAAUGUUGUGGGAAACUGUUAAAAUUCUUUCAUAUGUUUCCAUUAAUCUGAAGUUUAGCAUAAAUUAAAAUUACAAGCAUAGUUUGUUGACAUGUGAAACUUAUAAGCAUAAUAAACACAACAUUAACUAACUACAAAAUUCUGUCCAAGUGAUUAUGUACUGAUUCUUAAAUUUACCAUCGAAGGUUUAAAAUAUUAUGGUUUUGAUUUGGAAUCACGAUGUUGCUGUUUAAAACUAAAUAUUCACAGUGUUCUUGUGCCCACGGUGAUCUAGAGUGACCGCCAGUAAUGGUAGCCUUGUUUUAUGAAGUGAGGUAGGUGACUUGCAUAGCUAGAAGUCAGGAGAAGGUGAUAGGUGCCAUUUGUGUCUAGUGUCCUGCUCUCCCCAUGGUUGGUAAGGGAUCAUUUGAUGUAGCCCUUGUCACUAAGGGCUUGCUUCUGCCCUGAAUCCUCUCCUUUUCUGUUUAAGACAGGUGCAUUUCCCUCCUUUCAAACAGUCUUUCCACCUUUUCAUUGAAAGAUUUACCCUUUUUUUUUUAUCUCUCUUCCUAUUGGUGAGGUCUGAACUCUGUUUUCCAGGCUAAAAUGGCCUUCUCAUUGGCUUUAUAUCCCAUCAGUCUAUGCCUUUAGGCAGACUGUUCUCAAUAUUGCUUUUGACUACUCAGCUCAGAUGAGGCUCUGCCUUAGGACCUUCAGGUGUCUGUUGCCCCAUCCUCUCCUUUCUGACAUCACAUAUUAGAAUGUCCAUCUUUAACCUGUCAGUCACAGCUCUCUCAGCUCUCUCUGUUCAUGGUUUGCCUCUUCAAAGUUUCUCUAAUCACCUUUUCUGAUUUGUGCUUCCUCUUGUCAUCCUCCCUCUUUCUGACCUACUCCCAGACAUUCUAUGGUCUCUUCACUAGAAAAUAUUGUCCUUACUGAUUACUGGCCUUCUUGCAAAUAAUUUAUUUAUCAUACAGUUGUAUUGCAGUGACUUCAGCUUCCUGAUACUUGCUGGCACUAAUGUGUUCAGCAGCGUAUGAGUCAGAUGUACAUGUUGAGUGAAGAAAGAAUGGCUCCUAUUUAGACGGAAAGCCCAGGGGAAAGCAGUGGAUUUACCUAUCUGGUUUAUAGCUGCAUGGUAGCACCUCUGCUAUACCAGGCUCUGAUACAUUCUGAAUGAAUGAUGGGCAGUUUUCUGUUUGGAACUCUGUGUGACAUUUCAAAUCCUAGUUUUAACUCUGUCUUAGUUAGUGUUUUAUUGCUCUGAAGAGACACCAUGACCAAGACAAUUUGUAUAAUGGUAAACAUUUAAUUGGGUCUGGCUUACAGUUUCAGAGGCUCAGUCCAUUAUCGUCAUAGUGAGGAAGCAUGGAAGUAUGCAGGCAGACUUGGUGUUGGGGAGCCAAGAGUUUUACAUCUUGAUGAGAGGGCAGCCAGGAGAAAACAGACUCUUCUGCAGGCAGCCAAGAGGAGGCUUUCUUUAACACUGGGUGGAGCCUGAGAUUAGAGCCUCAAAAUCCAACCCCACAGUGUUGAAUUUUCCCUCACAAGGCCAUACCUACUCCACCAAGGCCACACCUCUAAAUAGUGCCACUUCCCGUGGGCCAAGUAUAUUCAAACCACAGAUUUAACUGACCAUGUUUUCUGCAUGAUGGACAACUGAUCUUUCACCUCCCUAGUCCCAGUGAUAGUAUAGUCAAAGGAGUUUUGUAGGGUAUACCAGGGAGGCUGAGUUAAAGUAACUGUGAUCACUCCGUUAGCUUGUUGGCUUGAUUUUUUUCUUUUGUCUUACAUUUUUAUGUCAAGAAAAAAACAGAAGACCAUUAUUGUAAGCACAAAGCCAAGAAUAAGAUGGAAUACUUAAAAUGAUUGGAGGACUUAUCAUUGCUAAAGUAACUUGUCAUCUCUGGCAAAGAACUGACAUUAAACACUGCCAUUUAUAAAAUGAUUUUAUGUACAGAGUAAUUUAUAGUAAAACUCACAGUAUUUAAAGUAAGAUAAGUAUGUUCAAAAGGAAUAGACCUGAAAAUCCCUAAGUAAAAUUGCCUUUGAAAAAUAUCCG